rnacentral:rRNA from 1 species
GACGAACGCUGGCGGCGUGCCUAAUACAUGCAAGUAGAACGAGUUGCGGACGGGUGAGUAAUGCUUGGGAAUCUGGCUUAUGGAGGGGGAUAACGACGGGAAACUGUCGCUAAUACCGCGUACCAUAGGAUGAGCCCAAGUGGGAUUAGGUAGUUGGUGGGGUAAUGGCCUACCAAGCCGCCGAUCUCUAGCUGGUCUGAGAGGAGGACCAGCCACACCGGGACUGAGACACGGCCCGGACUCCUACGGGAGGCAGCAGUGGGGAAUCUUGCGCAAUGGGGGCAACCUGACGCAGCCAUGCCGCGUGAAUGAAGAAGGCCUUCGGGUUGUAAAGUUCUUUCGGUGACGAGGCGUUAAUCACAGAAGAAGCACCGGCUAACUCCGUGCCGGCAGCCGCGGUAAUAC